GAACGCACAUUGCGCCCGCCAGUAUUCUGGCGGGCAUGCCUGUUCGAGCGUCAUUUCAACCCUCAAGCUCAGCUUGGUGUUGGGGAUCCCGGGCCCUUCGCGGCUCGGGUCCUCGAAAUAGAGUGGCGGUCUCGCUUGUCGACUCCUCUGCGUAGUAACCAAACCUCGCACCGGAUAGCAGCGCGGCCACGCCGUUAAACCCCCCACUUCUGAAGGUUGACCUCGGAUCAGGUAGGAAUACCCGCUGAACUUAAG
rnacentral:misc_RNA from 1 species